rnacentral:lncRNA from 1 species
CCCGCCAGCCCCGCGCUCCAGCGGCCGAGCGCGUGCGGCCGCCGAGCACAUGGGCCCGCGGGCCGGGCGGACUCGGGCGGCCUGGACCGGGAGGAACAGCGAGGGGCGGCGAGCGAGGCUGGGUCCCGGCACGCCCCCGGAGCCCCCCGAGUGGAUUUCCACGCGGAAAGGAUGGUGGCCGUCCGGGUGACCUGCGGAGACACGGCCGGAUCCACCUUCCAGCCUGAUCUUUUGAUCAGGGAGGAAUUCAAAAGAAUGCCCCCUUGUGAUGGCUGCGCUGUCAAGUACAUGGAGCUUCCCUCGAGGAUUUUCUGAGCCUUGUGGAUAUACUGUGAGCCUCGCUGCCUGGGGAGUAAGGCGGCGGAAGCAGUCUCUGGGGGGACCCAUGCCCGCAGCAUUUCUGGAUGCUAAAGGUGGCUUUAAGGAAGGCCCAGCUGAGUGCCUCGUGGAUUCCUGCAGCCUGGAUGCCUGCGGGGGACAGAAGACCGAUGCUUCCUGCCCUCAUCACCCAGGAAUGUCGGGAGGGGGCUCCGCCAGUUCCCUGAAGGGCUCCCAGUGAAACGUAAGGCCUGGCUCGAAUCUCCCACCUUCCUGUGAUGGCUGUGGUGUAAUCUGAAAAAAUGCAGAUCCGUUCAGAACUCCAGAAGGACUUGAAAACUGUCCUGCCCUGAACGAAAGCUGGAAUAUCGUGGGCUUUGAUGAACCAAGGUAAGGGAUGCUCUCCUCUUGAGCCUUUUGGGACCAGACGUGGCGACUGGACUCGGUGAUCUCUGGCAACACAGCUUGGGUUGUGGUUUUUGACUGCUCGGCAGGCCUGGCUUCCUGUGCUUGGGAAGCUGCCCUCCAGUAGCCUCGCCCCGCUCCACAGGUCCCGGUUUUCGGCGCCGGGUCCCCUGCCCCUUGUGCGGGGGCGCUCUCCCUCUGUCCCUGGCUGAGGAAGGAGCCGUCCCUCUCCUAAGUGGGACACCUGUGCCUUGCCUCUUGGCAGAGGAGAGGGUGCCGCAGCGGUUCUGCUGAGGCGCGGGGAGCCUGCCCCGGGGAGAGGACGGGGGUUGGUGGGAUGAUGAGAUCAAGUCUGCAGGCCUUGGGGGGGCAUCCGGCUGCCAUCUCUUCCUCUCACCUCGCCUCCCUGUGCUUCCUGUUCCAGCUUCCAGUCUCAGGCUGCCCCGGGGUCAAGGGGAAGAGGUUACAGCUGCCGGCUUCAGGCCAACCCGUUUUCCUGGUCUUGCUGCUCGCCUCACUCAGCCUCCCCCAAGUCUGUUUCCUCAUUUAUAAAGUCGGGAUGCUGUGAGUGCCCGGGAGGAUGUUGUGGGCGCUGAGUGUGAUAGUGGAGAAAAGGGUUUCGCAGGCUGCCUCUCGUGGAGGAGGAAGUGCUCCAGAACGGACGAAGGUCCCUUUUUUUCCCUUUUAAUUCAUUCAGGACCCCAUUUAGAGGGCCUGCCGUGCAGCAGACUGUUUCCAAGACCUCAGACUGCCGUGCACCGGCCACCAAGUCCGCCUGGGAAAUGGCCUGUGACUCACCUUCCUGGCUGUGUGCAGCACCUCGCCCCUCGCAGAGCCGAUGGCUCCCCCCUCUGGACCGUAGCCCGCAGUUGAGGGCAGGCCGAUAGGAGGUCAUUUGCGUUGUCCCCGGUCCCCCCGACCCCCGGCUGGUGAGCCUGUUUAGAGCAAAAACCCUCUUACACAUCCUGAUGCCCCAGGGUUGGGCCUGUUGAAAGAACACGGGACUGAAUCAUUGAAAAGGCGGGUGUAGAGAGGAAAAGCCAGAGUGGGAAGCAAAGGGAGAAAGUUUUUAAAGAUGUGGCGCCAAGAGGGAGGCCGGGUGUGGUUUUUUUUCCCUUCGAUGAGAUGUUGAAAAGAAUAAGCGAUGUGCCGAGAAAAGGAAAAAUGAGCCCUGCUGCACCCGGGAAACCUCUGCAAGGGUGGGAAGUCGGGUGAGAAAGUGUGGACGGCGAGAAGUCAGGUGGAGAAAGCAGCCCAGGACGGUGCUCACGCGUGCGUGUCCUCUUUUGCUCGCGCCUUAUACCUUUUCAAAAGGCGGUUGCGUUUCUCAUCCCCCCCACCCUCUCCGGGGCGUUCAGGAGCCGAGUGGCCCACGGAGAUGGAGAGCAUGGGGCUUUGCCCUCUGGUCAGGGUGGGCCCCUGACAGACAGAGGGUCCUCCAGGCUCACCAGGUGUGUGGGAGGCCUGGGGAUGGGCCCUUGUCCAUUCCGGGAGGCUUCCUGGAGGGGGUACUGUCUCUUGAGACUCUCGGAAGAUGCAUGUGAAUAAGACAUUAGCAGAAGCCUUUCUCUACUCAGCCGCCUGGGUGCUCACCUUCCCGGCUGGCUUGGAUUUUGUGAUCUACUUGCUUAUUCUCUAGCUAGUGUCACAUUCUAGUGUCAGCAGGCAGCGGCCGUGAGUACAGCUCGCAGGCCCGCCUUUUUUUUUUUUUGCCCCUGGAGCCCUCAACCAGUCCUUCAGUUGGGUUUCAGAAGCCCACGCUCCUGGUCCAGGCCAUCAGCUUGGGAAGCGGAAGUGUAUACGGAUGCAAAGCUGCCUCUUCUGGAAUCCCUGCUCCCUGGAGCACCUGCAGGGCUUGAGCUCCUGUGCCGGAGGGUUGGGGGGGUGGGGGGUGGGUGUGGGGUGGAAGAGCCAGUGGGAGGCCAGGCGCUGGGGUAGAGGAUCUGAAAGCUGGGAGAACGGUUCUUUUGACAGAGGAAAGGCUUGGCAGGUCUGUCUGGGGGUAAUGAGAAAGGAAUUUCCCUAGAACUCAGCUGCUGGAGGUGGACAGAGCGGGAGUAGAUGUUGGGACCUCAAGGCUGACAGUCCUGGACACAUCCCUGGGCUGGGCUGGUCUGUCCCGGGGUGGGGUUUAAGAAAAGCCCAAGCACUUGGGCUCAUGUGUGGCUUCUACUUGUUCUAAAGGCACUGCCCUCCCACCCGGAGCCUGUGUGCCUGCCCCCCUGGCUGAAGUCAGCUCACCCGGGCUGCGCGCCAGCAGGAGGGAUCUGCAGCCUUCCCAUCCGUGGGCUUGUUUGCCCCGUUCCUGCCGUGGAACAGACGAGUACCAGUAUCUGGGCUUCUAGCCCAGUGUACUAUCUAGGAGAUUCUAGCCUACUUCCCUCUCCUCUCUCCGACCCUGGGCCAGUCCUUUCUAGCUCCCCAUGCUUCUUUUCUCAGCUGCACAACCCAGCCGGGGGCGGGGCGGUGGGGGGGGGAGCAUGGUCAGUGAAAAAGAGCCCUUGUGGUUUGCCUCUCUCCCACCUCCUUACCUGCCUGGCUCCGGCCCAACCGAGUUACUCUCCCUCCUCCCGGCCCCGGCCUCCUUCCUGCACCUGCACACAGGGUGCCUUUUUCCCUGGCUUUUAGGGCCUCCUCGUCUGGCUCCGCCUCCCCCGGGAACAUCUCUUGGCUCCUGCCUGAUCGUCCCAAGCCAGCCCUCUCUGGCCUGCAGUGAGAGGGUAUCCGAAGGCACCCAUCUGCCUGUCCUUGGACGCGCGCCAGCUCUGGUCAUUAGCCACAGGGUGUGUGUGUGUCAAGGUCGCUUCCUUUAUUCCGUGGCCAGAGUAUUGAAAGAUCUCCUGGCCCACUCGGAACUCUACCCUUGAAACAGAAACGGAUUUUCAAAACACCUCUGCAACUGGCCCAUUUUACUAUUACUGUUUCUUGUGGUUUCAUAUUGAGGUUUUUGGCUCAUUGCAUUUGACCUGGGGUUUAUUUUUAGUAGCGAAGACAGAGUUCAAUUAAUGUCAGAGACAUGAGGGCAAAUGCAGAGGAGGGAUUCGUAAGUCUAGGGGAAAAUGUGCCUAAUUUUGUUUCUUCUGAUAAUAUCUGUCACGCUGGCAGACACGCAGCUUCCUCAGCGGUGCCUUCGAUGGGCUUUGCAGAGGCAGGGAAUCUGCCCACCCCCCCAAAUGGAACCGUCUCUGGGUCUCCUGCGGUCCAGUUUAUCCAGCAGCUGGCCACACAGCUGGCCGUUAUCGUUAUGGCUGAUAAUUGUUAUAAUUAAUAUUAGAGUAAAGGCCACUCUUUGGAACCUUCAUUUCUUAUCAUCUCCCCAGUGGGUUCGGUUUCCUUCUGUCUCCAGGAGCAGCACCCGACUGGCUUGACUAUCCGCUCUCCUCCCUGCACCGUGAGUGCUUUGAGAACAGGCUCUGGGUCUGGCUCUCUCUUUAGUCCCAGCCUUUGGCACCGUGACAGGAGCACAGGCUAUGCUCGGGGAAUGUUUUCCUGGAUCGCCUGCAUUUUUUUGGAUACCGGGUGUGGGUGAGAAAGUCAGACUUCAUGCAGCCACUGCUCUUUCUGCAAGGGCUCCCCGGUCUGUUCUGGGGUUGGGGGAAACCAAGCCCUAUUUGCUUAGGACUUAGCAGUUGAUCAAGUUCCUUCUUGUUCUUCCGUCUUUCUUUUCUUCCAUGGCGAUUUACGGAGAACCUGCAGGGGCCAUUAUGCAGGUGCCUGGAAUAAAGGAGGGAAAAAGCACCAUUCUUGCUCUGAAGGAGAUCCAGAGACAGACGCUGGCUUUAUGGAUCCCUGUGGUUCUGGAUUGUGUAUUCAUGCCCCCCCCCCUCACCCCCCGCCCCGCCCCGACCCGGAAUUCAGAUGUUGAAACCAUAAUCCCCAGCGUAAUGGUAUCGGGAGGUGGGGCUGUUGGGAGGUGGCUAGGUCAUAGGGUGGAGCCCUCACGAUGGGUCGAGGGCUCCUAUAAGAAGAGACACGGGGCAGGUAACGUCUCCCUCUGCUCCCCACCACGUGAGCUGGAAGGCAGCCCUCCACAAACCAGAGACGGCAUCGGCUGCAUCUUGAUCUUGGACUUCGAGCCUCCGGAACUGUGAGGAAUAAAUUCCUAUUGUUUAAGCCACCCAAUCUAUGGCAUCUUAUUACAGCAGCCUGUGCGGAUGGAGACACCUGUAUUUCACAGAUGAAUGAAUUGGAGACCUGGAGCCUUGUGCUGCUGCGAGCUCUUUGCUAGUUGGCGGUGGAUCUUACAAGAGUGGGUGGAUCUUCUGAGUCCACAUGUUGCUACCAGUACUACCAAUAAUCAUAGUAAAAAUGACAAAAGCUCCAAUGUGUUAUUCAGAGUGUUUCCGGCACUUUACGUGUAUUCUCUCCUUUGCUUUUCAGGGCAUGUGAGGAAAUGGGGAUUAGCUAAUGUGCCCCAGAUGGCAAAGGAAGGCAUCUCCCCGUGGGGUACAUGUGAAGGACAUACUCGUGCUUUGUGCUUUGCCAUAAUUUCAAGCUCUUUUUUUAUUUUUAAACUUGGGGCUAAUAUUUAGAAGCUUUAACUAAUGAGCAGACCCUUUGCUAAACUGAUGUAAGCGCUGCAUGUCGCCACGACUCCAGCCCCGCGUCUCUCGCUGCCUCUUACCGAGGUCCCUAGAUGCCCCUGUUCUCUCCAGGGACCCUCCCAGCUCACCUCUAGGUUUUCUCCAGGCUCGGCCAUCCCUCUCUGCUCUCCUGGGACCCAGGUCUAUCAGGGGACCCUGACAAAGUCUGAGAUCCUGCAGGUUGGAUCCUUGGUUUAUAAUGGAGUAAAUGACAGCGCCCCACCUGACACACAGCUGUCUAGCGCCCUGGCUGCUUCCGGAGUGCGGGUGGCUUUCAGAAGCCCUGAGCCGCUAAGGCUCUGGGUCCGUGGGCUCUCAGUCAUGCCGGUCUGCUGGGAAUUCAGACUCUUUGGCUCCCAGCCUUCUUUCUUCCAAUUCUGUCACCCCCCCUGGAGCUGGCUAGUGAUGGGUACUUAAUGAGGAAAAUAUCCACACGGGAGGCAGAGCAUCUGGAAGAUUUUUUUUCCCCUCCAAAGAUGAAACCUAAAAACUAAAGGACCCACUUGUCCCAGCAUCACACAGUGUUUGGCUGCAAGGACUCAGAAGGGCGUUCUGCCCUGGAGGAGGAGAGGCACCGGCUUUGUCCCCGUGGCAAAUCAAAAGGGGAACCUUUAAAAACAUUGGGUUGGAGUUCCUGCUGUGGUGCGACAGGAUCAGUGGCAUCUCUGCAGC